rnacentral:miRNA from 1 species
CCAGAAAGUUCAUUCAGGUCCU